rnacentral:lncRNA from 1 species
GCAGGGACAUCCCAGCACUGGAGCUGUCACCACGGGCAGGGACACAAAGUCCUGGUGUCCCCCAUGGUUCCAGAGGGAGGGAACGGGCCCUGGGUGUCACCCUCCAGGGCAGGACAGGGCCAUGGUGUCCCCUUCACUGCCAGCCCAUCCACAGCCCCAGUGUCCCCAGGGAUGGCUCUGUCCCCUCAAAGCUGUCACCUCCCAUUGCAGGACAGUGUCCCCAGCACUGCCAGCCCAUGCACAGCCCCACUGUCCCCCAGGGAUGGCUCUGUCCCCUCAAAGCUGUCACCUCAAGGGGCAGGACAGGGCCAUGGUGUGUCCCCAGCACUGCCAGCCCAUCCACAGCCCCAGUGUCCCCCGGGAUGGCUCUGUCCCCUCAAAGCUGUCACCUCCCAUUGCAGGACAGUGUCCCCAGCACUGCCAGUCCAUCCAGCACUCCCAGGGCUGGCUCUGUCCCCUCAAAGCUGUCACCUAUGGAGCAGCACAGGGCCAUGGUGUGUCCCCUUCACUGCCAGCCCAUCCACAUCCCCAGUGUCCCCAGGGAUGGCUCUGUCCCCUCAAAGCUGUCACCUCAAGGGGCAGGACAGUGUCCCCAGCUCUGCCAGCCCAUCCAGCACUCCCAGGGCUGGCCCUGUCCCCUCUGAGCUGUCACCCUCCAGAGCAGGACAGUGUCCCCAUCACUGCCAGCCCAUUCACAGCCCCAAUGUCCCCAGGGAUGGCUUUGUCCCCUCUAGGCUGUCACCUCCAAAAGCAGGACAGGGCCACAGUCCUGCCAGUCCAUCCAGCACUCCCAGGGCUGGCCCUGUCCCCUCUGAGCUGUCACCUCCCAGAGCAGGACAGGGCCAUGGUGUCCCCAUCACUGCCAGCCCAUCCACAUCCCCAGGGAUGGCUCUGUCACCUCUGGGCUGUCACCCAUGGGGCAGGACAGUGUCCCCAGCAUUGCCAGUCCAUCCAGCAAUGCUGAAUUCCUGAACAUCCCCCGAGCCCCGGGGGGAUCCCGGAGCGAUCCCUGAACAUCCCGGAGCGAUCCCCGANUCCUCGGGGAGGGGCAGCCCCAUAAAUCCUCCCUGGGUGACGCUCACUCCCCGUGGGUGCUGCUCCACGCUGCUGCUGCUGCUGCUCCGUCCUUCUGCAGCCUCUUCGUGGCCAAAAUUGGUGCCAAAGCCUCCCCCAGGAGCUGCCGUGCCCGGUUGGUGCCCCCCGAAGCGGGCAGGGGGUGCCAGGUGAUGCCCUCUCCUCAUCCGCUUCAGCCUCAGCAGCACUUUGCUGCUCUGACCUCGCAUCCGCCCCCAAAAACGGGGGGAAAACAACUGCCCUUCCCAAGGGGUGCCCCUGUGCCAGGGGAUGAGCUCCUCAAUCCAGAGGGAAACGGGCAAAACCUUGCGGGAGCCCAAAAAGCAAAAGAAAAAACCCCAAAUUGUGGAGAGAGCAAAAGAAAAACCCUAAAUCACAGAGAUAGCAAAAGAAAAACUCCAAAUCGUGGAGAGAGCAAAACAAAAACCCCAAAUCGUGGAGAAAGCAAAAGAAAAACCCUAAAUCACGGAGGAAGCAAAAGAAAAACCCCAAAUCGUGGAGAAAGCAAAAGAAAAAACCCCAAAUCACGGAGAUUUCUGCGAGAGCACCACCUGCCUUGGCCUCAGCCCAGCUCUCGGCACCUCCGCCGUGGGGUCGUGCCGAGCUUGGCACCCCCUCCGUGCCAGGCAAACCCAGCUGGUGCCACCCCAGGAAGGCUGGGGCACCCCAAUGAACCCCCUGAGGUGUUCCCAUGCCCUGCGAGGAGAGGAGAAGCAGGGCAGCGGGGCAGGGCAGUACUCACCACGGAGGCGAGAGCUCCUUUCCUCUGGGACCGAGCCCCGGCGCCCUGGGUAUAAAUACCGGCGGGCCCGAGGAACCUCAGAGGCGGAUCCGCUCUAAACAAAGACCCUAAAUAGGCUCAGUGAUGGUGUGCCGGCCAUAUGGCCAUAUAAGGUGU